UAAAAUCAUAAAAAAGUAAUCAUUUUUAUGCAAUGUCGAAUUCUUGUCUUCCCAAGUCGCCUUCUUUGUUUUCUUCCUCAUCGGCCACUGUUUCACCGUCACCGCAUGCCAGAUACCAGAAAAGGCCUGUGAAUCACGACCAACCUAAUGAGUGAAGUAACAAGCUCCUCGUCCUUUCAGAUAAUUGGUCAUAGCAAACGGCAGACUUCAUGUCUUCUCCUAAAGCACAGCUGUGGGGUUUGUGAAAAGUGUGCCCACAAAGUUGAAGAAUUUCAUGUUCACCAGCAACUUCAUAUCUUGUGUCAUUACAUGCUAGUGCAUUCAGGGUCUGACUCAUGUUGCCCAAAAAGUGUUUAUCACUGUAAUAAUUAUUAUGAGGUAUCAAGACUAAAAUAAUUUUCUUUCAGUUAGAUAUUGACUAAUUUUAGAGACCCCAUUUUUUCAGUUUCAGUAAUCUUCAUUUAACCCAAACGAAAAGAAAUUCACUAUGUGAACAUAAAAGUACUUCUCUUGUUUUCGAUAAUGCUCUUGUCCUCUUAAAAAUAAUGAGCUCUUUGGAAGGCUGUGAACACCUUGUUUGUUGGAAUAAGAAUAAUUAUUUGAGGGUGGUGGGAAGGAGAGCAAAAAAAAAAGUUAAACAUGAGGUAAGUUGAACAUCCAUUGACACUAUGCCUCCUAAGUUGUAAUAUAACUUUCAGAACAGAGAUUGAUAUUUAGAUCAGGUCUUGAUUACUGUAAACACUAAAGCUGUGUUCACAUUAGGUGUCAGCUAUGAUCAAAUUAUAACCCAAUUAAGUUUGGAAUGGACUCACAUCAACCAAUUACAGUACCUGAUUGGAAUUGAAUGAUAAUAAUUUACUUCAAACAAUUGCAAAGGGUUGCUUAAGUUAAAAUAAGUACUGUGCAUAGUUGAACAGAAUGGCAGACAGUUGGUGGUAUCAGGAGUUCAAAAUUCUAAUCGCGUUAUGAAGCAGAGAGGUGGAUUUGUCUUCUUUUAUUCUCGGAAGCUUUCCUUGAUAAUCAUAACAGUCAUGCAAAUGGAUACCUAGUUUAUCCAAAUUUUCACAGAUGUGAACAGAACCAUAAUUGAAUAAAACUGAAUGGAGUAUGAUAAUCUGAAUUAUACUUGAUCAUGAUCAACGUUUUGUGUGAGCACAGCUUACGACUGUGCAUUGUAAUAAUUAGUUUUGUUGUUUUUUUUUCCUUUGAGCAUAAAACCAUAGACUUCAGCAAACAGAGAUGGUGCUUGAAUUGGACAGAAUGCCUCCAUUUCAUCUGGAGUAUAUUAU